UACGAAGGGGGCUAGCGUUGCUCGGAAUCACUGGGCGUAAAGGGUGCGUAGGCGGGUUUUUAAGUCAGAGGUGAAAUCCUUCGGCUCAACCGGAGAAGUGCUUCUGAUACUGGCGGGCUGGAGGGAGGUAGGGGCAGACGGAACUUCCGGUGGAGCGGUGAAAUGCGUAGAUAUCGGGAGGAACACCAGUGGCGAAGGCGGCCCUCUGGGCCGGGCCUGACGCUGAGACGCGAGGGCGUGGGGAGCGAACGGG
rnacentral:rRNA from 1 species